AACCUUAUUUUGGUUUCAUAUGCCAACUAGAUCUUUUUCCUUUUCUUUUUCUUUUCUAUGCCAAUUUCAUGGCCUUAUAUGCUUAAACAUAAAUUAAAAACUGAAGCAAAUUAGUGAUCAAUAUAUCAAAGUACUAAAGUAAACAAAUAGGAAAACGAUGAUCAAUUAUCACGCGUAAUAGAGAAAAGGAGGAAGAUGAUAUUAUUGGAUACGUAUACGAAUCGCUUCAUUACAAUUAGGCGUAAAGUGAAAUUUGCAGCUCAUUCGCCGCAGAAAGUUUUCAGUUUACUUAAUUAUUAUGUUUAAUUAUAAAAGCAAUAUUACCACUAUAUAAGUAUAUACAUGGCUUACUGCUUCCUACAAAUGGCGGUGCACUUCUAUCUCAAAGUAUUAUUGUAUUAUGGCAUAACUUUUAUUGUUGCUAUGUAUUUAAAAAGUAUUUUGAUCUUCUUUUGGUUUGUGGAGUUGUCUUUAAUUCAUGUUGAUUAUAUAUUUAUAACAACAUUGAUACUUUAUAAACAUUUACAAUCAAUCAUUUACCCCCAAAAAUAAUAAUUUUUACAAUCAUAUUUUCAUGCAUGAAAAACUCGAAGAGUUUCUUAAAGAAAAAAAAACUCGAAAUAAUGAUUACAUAACAAAAAAAUCAAAGACAUUUGUUUCUUGUUAAUUCUAUAAUCGAUCUGAGACAGUUUUUUAAUAAUUUAGAUAUUUUUAUAACUAUUGUAGGAAAGAUGGACAUAAACCACUGAUAUAUUUGCAUAUAUAAAAGCCUAAUUGCAUUCACACAUAUUUUACAGCUAUAACCUAAAUUAUAGUCUCAGAGCGAGAGAGACACACACACACACAUAUAUUAGUCACAAAUGCAAACUAAACUAUAUUAAAAAUUUGACCAAAAAAAUUAUAUUAAAAAUAAAUAAACAUCACCUACAUGGAUAAUGUUUGAGAGCUUGAUGAGUUAAUUAGUCACAAUGUCACAUAGUAUCUCAGUAGUAUUAGUCUAAUGUUUUAUAUUAUUAUAUUUGCGGUGUUAUUAUUCGAGUUUCAAUUAAUGCAUAAAAGUAGCCAAUAGCUAUCAUAACUAAUAGAAAUUCAUGAUGUUAAUUAUUUUAAUCACUGUGAUUUUGUAGUCAUUUGGGUGGGGUUUAGUUCUUUUUUUAACACUUUAAAAUUUCAUACGAAUAGAAAGAGUUCUCAGAGUAAAUGGAGUUUUAGUUAAUUUAAUUUGUCAAUUUGUAUGUCAUCUUUUCCAAACUGCUUCUCGUCAACAACUGUAAGAAUAUUUUUACUGAUUUUAAAUACAAGUAUAUUUUUAGAACAAGGUGUAUUUUAUUACCAAUGCAAAAAAAAAAAAAAAAGGAUUACGUUCAGAGCAUUGAUUGUAAAGGAGUGCCAUUACCAACUUAGAAUAGUUUUUCCUGAUUUAACAACUGAUUUAUGCAAUGAUAAAGAGGACUCUGUUUUUGCAACAAAAAAGCUCUUUUGUUUAUUAUUUCAUAUACUAUUUCUUUUUAAUAAUUUGAUCAAACAAUCAUAGCAAUUAUCAACUAUCCGUUCGUUAGACCGCAUUAAGUAAGUUCUUAAGACUCGUCUACGGAAUAAUAUUUCCGACGAUUUUGAUUAAUCAUCAAUACAAUACUAAAAGGGGAAUAAGAGCUCCCCUCAUGCUUCCACAUCCUCAAAAAUAAUCAGCCAAUAGGAAAGCAUCAAACUUCCACGUCAUUAAUGAGUUAAUUAGUUUUGUUUGGGCCUCCGUUGUUUUCGGUCCGUCUAUUCUGAAGUCUAAAGCCCAGAUUGAGCAACCGAAGGGCAGAUGUGUUACGCGAUGAAUGUCGACUUCCAUCUCUUCCAUUUCUCUCUUAUCCAGAUCCGUUUCGAUGAGUAAUUUUGCUACUAAUUCCUCUCAUCAAACCUGAGAUUGAAGUCAUUCAAUGGAUUCCUUUCAUCUUCUUCUAAAAUUUUCUAUAUAUAUUACUCUUUUCAUAGCUUAUGUCUCCAUCAAAGUUCAUAAGAUUCUCUCAUUUACUCAUCACGAUGGAACCCACCGGCAACUCUACCGUCUCCGGCGAACGCAAGCCCAUCAAGAAGACCGUCGCAACCUCCGCGACUGCGAAACCAAACGGGAAGUCCACUGCUUCUUCCGCGACUGUGAUGAAACCUAACGAGACGACUGCUGUUUCAUCCGCCAAUUCGAUGAACCCAAACGCUGUUACCGCUCAAUCUUCCGCGCAUGGCGAUCAAUUCGGUUUGUGUUUGUUGAUUGAUUUGAUUUUGAUUGGUUUUGAUUCUUUACACAGGUGGGAGCUGUGAAGCCGGAAGAUUCGAGUGCCUCAGGUGUGACUCAAAAGCCAUCUCCUCCGGUGGGAUCUCCAGCUCAAGGUCAGGUCAGGUCAGGUCAUCUCAUUGUUAGUGCGGAGUUCGUUUUCUUUGAGUUACCGAGGAAGUGGAAGCCGUGGCGAGAAUAUGGAUUUCAUUGCUGUGAUGAGAUCAUGAGAGUUAUGAUUAUGAUCAUAAUCCGUUGUCUAGAUGGGAUUAGAGUUUCCGGCAUCUGAAUCACCACCGGUGAAGAGACAAAGUAGCAGAAAGCUGAAUAUCAUGAAGACCUGAAGAACCUACUCAUUUUAUCAAAAUCAAUCAGAGAAGUUGUAAGUUAAACUAUCACCAUAAUAUCUUUUUUAUCUAAUUGAUUUCCGAAAUUCUUAUAGUUAUUUUCACAGUGUAACAGAGUUUGAUAGCUAAAGAGUUACAUUUUCCAUAACUUGAGUUUUUUUUAAACCAAGUUGGUCUCGAGCUAUCAAUUGGAAGACGUUGAGUUUCCUAAAGCACCGGUUCAUCAUUGUUGGACCAAGGCUAAGAGGAAAGAGCAACUCUCUCGGUGGAAUUGCUUACUUGGAAAUGAUGAUGAUGAUGAUUUAUGUAGAUGGUUGGGUUCAAGAGGCUAAGUGUUUAGUAUAAUUUGUAUAUGAAUAUAUUUUCUAUAAAAACUGAAAUGGUUUUAAUGUAUUUCAGCCAUUCAAAGAAAAGGUUUUAGGUGAAGCUUAAGGAAAUCAAAACUGUUUUACAAACAACGUCACUGGAAAAAAUAAUGUGGUGUGAAACAGCUGGUCAUAUUCUCAUAGAUGCUAAUCUCCGAGAUUAAGGUUGUGCGUGACAUUUGGGAAGUUAUAAAAUGCAUACCCUGAUCUGUGAUAUGUAAGAUUCAGUUUAGAUACAUGUCAUGACAUAUAUGAUUUUCAUAUUAUACGAUUCAUAUCAUAUAUUGUCAAAUUAUAUAUCUCUUGAUAUUUAACUAGGUGAAAACAUGGGUUCCGUUUCCGAACAUGUUUUGCAAUAGCGGAAAGCUAGAUUUAGAGUUGUGGUACAAUGACCAAAUGCUCAGCUAUGAGGAUGCAAAGCGUAUGAACGUUUCCAUAAGUCGUGAGAUGCCUCUAUUAACUUGAUAUCAAUGCGAAAACAAUCCUCCACUGCUUCGUUAAGGAACCAACUGAAAGGCAGGUUCGGCUAAUGAAGAGGGAAGCCUCACAACCCUACACAAUAUUCAUAACAUUGCUUGAUCAAUGUAAAUUACUUUUACAUACAUUACUAUAAGUUCAUAUGUAUUUAUUCCAACACAAUGAGAAGCUUACAAACCGUGAGAAAGCAAUCAUGAAAGUACAAACAAAGCAAUGACGCAAGCCGUAGUUUUCACUGGCUGUAGUCGCAAGCCGUAGUUUUCACAGUAGAUAUGACAGAUCCAGCGUGGUGGUAUGACUGGCUGUAGAACCCAAGCCGUAGUUUUCACCAAAGCAGAAGCAACAAGGAAACAGAAGAGUAAAAACAAAGUUGUGCUACUGCUUUCCCUCAUUUCCUUGCUCUCCUGUGAAAACGUAGAUAUACUUUUCGAAUGUGUUUUUUGUAGUCUCCGUAAAAUGCAUGUUUCAGUUCAAAAACAUGUGUAGUGUAAACGUCAGAUAUUGGCAUUUACUGUUUUAAAUCAGUACGGUAUA